rnacentral:tRNA from 1 species
UUUGACGCAAACACUCAACGAUAUCGGCACGGAUUCCAUCGCUAAAAGGUCACCAGAGACUCUCUCGGACAGCUACUUG